GUGGAUUAGAUACCCUGGUAGUCCACGCCCUAAACGAUGCGAACUGGAUGUUGGGUUCAACUUGGAACUCAGUAUCGAAGCUAACGCGUUAAGUUCGCCGCCUGGGGAGUACGGUCGCAAGACUGAAACUCAAAGGAAUUGACGGGGGCCCGCACAAGCGGUGGAGUAUGUGGUUUAAUUCGACGCAACGCGCAGAACCUUACCUGGCCUUGACAUGUCGAGAACUUGGCAGAGAUGCCUUGGUGCCUUCGGGAACUCGAACACAGGUGCUGCAUGGUUGUCGUCAGCU
rnacentral:rRNA from 1 species